GGCCCACACGGGAGUUAGGUUUGGUUAAUUCAAAUUUUAUGUUGUAUUUCGUUUUAUUUUUAAUAUACAAUACAUUUGUGGGACCCAUUAAUAGUAAAGCUUUCAAGAGAAGUUUCUAUUCCUAAAAAAUAUCUGGUUUCGCAUUCAAUAUAUUUUGAAUUUAACAAGUGGGUCCUAUUUUUGUUUGAAUGUAAAGAAGUUUGAGGCAAAAAUCUCCCGGCAACAUUUUUUGGGUUGUAAGAGUGAAUGCGAUUUUGUUCGUCAUUCUUAAUCACACAUCGGAGUCCAUGGCCGACAGGUUUCGCAUCCUCGCCGGAGACACCUUCGUCGGAGCUUUGGUUGUUUUUAAGCUUGCGGGAGUUGUGGUUGUGGUUAUUCGAGCAAACGAAGGUUUAAGAUUUUUAACGUUGUUGUUGUUCUUAACGUGUGUAAUGUGUUCGUCAUUUUUUCAUCUAUGUUUACGAAAUUUGGGCGGCAUUUUUAAUCUAUGCCCCGAUGAAGGUUUAUGAUUUUGUGAGGUUGUGGUUGUUGUUAAAGCAUUCAAUAUUUUUUGAAUUUAGGAGGUGGGUCUCAUUUUAGUUUGAAUUCGACAAAUAUUGUGCGAAAAACUGAGAUCGUCAUUUUUUUGGUGGGAAGCUUGAAGGCGACUGUGUUCGUCAUUUUUCAUCAAUCUUCACAAAGUUUGUCAGCGACUGCUUUGGGAUCCUUGCCGGAGACAUCUUCUCGGCGUUUGAAUGGUUAGAGUUGGGUUCGGCGUUGUUGACACGUGUUGUUUCCUCUCCCGGUGUUUCGGCCUUUCCAGUUCCGUGGGUUCCCCUUCCAUUGUCGUUUCCCCUCCCGGCAUUGGCUUCGGCGUUUUGUAAGUCGUUUCGCCGUUCGUUAUUUCUCUUUUUCAUUCAAUUUUAUUUUCCCUUCACUUGGUGUAGUUAGAUAUUUAUAGGUUUUUUAGUUGCAAAAUGUCAUAGUAUGUUUUUUUGCUUCGAUUCGGUUUAAUUAGGCAAAUUAAUGGUGAAUCGAGCUAGAUCUAUGGGUUUUUGUUUAUUGAUUACCUAGUAUUCUAGUUAUAACUCAAUUGUUGAUUGUCGAGGAUGGUGGUGGGAAAUGUUGAGGUGCCACCCAAGAGAAAACGUUCAGCAAGGUUGAUCCUGCUGAUAAUGAUGGUGGGGAGGAUGACGAGAGGCCAGCACAUUGUCGGCGAUUCUGCCCUCACCUGUGGCUGACGGUUCGACGAUCAGGCUUCAUCUUUGGUACCUCCCCUCCCAAGCUUGUUUCUUAGAGUUGAAAUUGUCGAUGAUUCGCGCAAGCUUCAUCACAUCUGGCAUUGCUCUCAGCUGUUAGGGCUCGAGUUGAAUGGUGCAAAUAAUCAAAGGAUUUUGACUCCAGAAUAUACUGCUGAUAGAGGGUUAGUUCAACAGAAGCAGAAGGUAAUGAUGGAGUAUUCUGCACUUCAGAUUCCAUUAAUGUUCUAAUUUUUGGCAACCUUCAGGCAUUGCUUUUAAGAUACCUAAAGUCGGAGUGGAUGUGCAGUCAGCUUUCUCGCGUGGAGAUUCCAUCUACAUUGGAUGUUCUACAUUAAGAUUAGCUGUGAAAAAGCAAUACUCUUCCCAAAUCCAACAGUUCUCUUUGCACAAACAUAGGCUUUUUAGCACCUACACAUUACCUGAGUCAAAUGCUGACAGCCACUUCCCAGCAUUGACCCAAGUUUGGGGAAGUUCAAACUACGUCAUGGGAGUUUGCGGACUUGGAUCGAGCAAUAACUUAUUACCUGUCGUUAUCAAACUACGUCAUGGCAUAUUAGCUAUUUUAGUUAAAACUUGUUUCUUGGAGUGUUUGUGAGUUUGUUUUUUUGUUUUUCUAAUGCAACAACUUUGU